GUACGGGCCUCCCCCGGGACCGGGAGGGCCACAGCUGUAUGGGAAUCCGUACGGAGGUAUACCUCCCCCUCCCCCUCCGCGUCGCCUACUU
rnacentral:ribozyme from 1 species